UUAAUUAUCAGCCAAAGGUGGCAGACUUCGGCCUGUCAAAGUUACAGAACAGAGGAGAAAUCAACAAUUCGAGAUUGUCGAGGAUCAGAGGAACAAGAGGUUACAUGGCUCCAGAAUGGGUUUUGAACCUCCCCAUCACCUCCAAAGUAGACGUUUAUAGCUAUGGUAUUGUGGUUCUGGAGAUGGUUACCGGCCGAAGGAGUGCUUCAAUGGCCAUCCACGGUACAGAUGGCAUAGGGGAACGUCAGAGUUUGGUGGCAUGGGUGAAAGGGAAGAUGAAUGGAGCAACUGCAGUUGCUUCGUGGAUGAAAGAAAUCCUAGACCCGUCGAUGGAAGGCGAAUAUGACAUGGGUGAGAUGGAAAUUCUAGUAGCAGUGGCUUUGCAAUGUGUGGAAUUGGACAAGGAUGAAAGACCCACCAUGAGUCAGGUGGUCGAGACGCUUCUCCGCCCCGAACGUGGAAACAAUCUUCACUACUAUUAAAUUAAUGCCUCGUAUGGGGCCCAAGUGAGGUGGCUUUCUGUACCUGUUCCGCCCAUUUAUGAUGUUUGUAAAAGAACAGAGUAAUUUUAAGUAGAAUAAUUGAGAAGCCAAAUCUUUUGAUACAACAUACAAUAUAAUUAUAUUGAAGUGUCUUUUUAAAAGAUACAACUUGGUUAUAAAUUUUAAUGUCAACCUUCUCAAAUGUUAAGUAAAAAAUUAUUUAAUUUUUUUUUAAAAAUAUCUUUAAUAUUAUGUCACUGUAUUUAAAGUAUUUUUUAAGAGGUAACUUGAUUACCAAAAUUUGAUAUUAUUUUUUAAUUCAAGUUUAUAAUUAUAAUUUAUAAAUAGUUUUUUAAUUAUUAUAAAAUACCGAACUUCUUACUAAAUCAAUUAGAAUGGAUGAUCAUCUAUUCCCUUAUAUCUCUUCAAUAUUGUUGCUACCCUCCUCCCAACUUUAUAUAAAAUAAAGAUUUUACUAAUAAAUAUUACAUAGAAUUUUAUUCCCAAUAUCUCUCCCUCGUACUCUUAUCUUACCCUCACAUAAUUUGUAACACUUCUAAGUUUUGCUCUUCAUCAUGGAACAAAUUCUUUUCUAUGUAGUAUACAUAUAUGAAAGGUAUACUACAUAUAUGAUGAAUGUGACAUUCAUUUAUUUUAAUUAUUUUUUCGGUGAUAUCAUUGCUUAGGAAAUUUUGAUGAAUGUGAAAGGGAAAUGGAAAAUUGUGGGUCACCAUAUAACAUAUAAGGACAAAAUGUAAUUUUAUUGGUCUUGCAUAGAUGGAGGUGGAAAUGGGGCAACACAUCAAAUCAGAUAUGGUGGAUGACAUGUAGAAUAAUGAUUGAAAGUGAAAUGAACGAGAGCCGCCCAGCAAAGGUCUAUUUUCAAAGUAUUUUAUUAGGUUUUUUUAUUUUAUUUUUUCAACUCAAGACCUCUUUCUGUAAAUUUAUUAUUAAAAAUAUUUGAAUCCCUAACUUUUUAUGAGUGUCUUUUCGUAAACAUGUUGACCUAAAUCAGUUGAGGUUAUGUUUGGCUCUUGGGGAAAGAAACAAAAAGACUAAAAAUAUAAUUUUUUUUUUCUCUUAUUUAUAUAUUUUUAAAUUAUUUAAUCUAAAACAAUGAAAGGUACAAAUUUUUCUAUAAUUACAAUUUAUUAAUUUUAAAUUCUUAUUUUAUUUUUAUUCAGACAUACCUUCAAUAAUUAGUAUAAAAUUAAUAUAAUGUUUCAUAUAUAAUCAAUUUACAUAUAUUAUAUAUUAUGUAUAAACACUAACAUAAUGAAUGAGAUGGUGUAUGUACAAAAAGAACGUAUGCUAGUGCAUUGGUAUAAAAUUUAAUAAAGUGUUUUAUACAUAUUUUGUAUAACUAGUAUACACCCCCUUAUACAUUGUUUCUAAAGGAAAAGAAAAUAAAUUAGAUAUAUGUGUAAAUGUGAUAUCAAUGUAUUCGUUUGGUUCGAAUCAAACAAGAAAAUUGAAAGAAAACAUUUAAAAUAUAUUUACAAUAGGAGUCUUGAAAUGUAUGUCGACAUGCAUCUCUUUUAUUAAUCAAGCAUUUUUCUACUUAACAAAAAGGUAGAAAAAUAUUUUUGUAAUGAUUUGACAUAAAAUUCAAAUAAGAAAAAAAAUAAUGUUAACAAAUAAUUUUAAUUACUGAAAAAUAAUAUUUGCAAACAUUCCUUCUUGAUAGUUGAUUGGAUUUUACAAUACACUAAUGAAACAUAUAUAUUAUGUGAAGCCUUGGACUUAUUUCACAUUUAAUUUCUUCAAAUUUUAAUGCUACAAACUAAACAUUUGUACAAAUGGUACAAGUUAGUAUCUUUUUAUGUAAUUAAUUAUUGUGAAGACAUUUUAUCUUUUUCAUUUACCCAAGAAUAAUCAUACUAAUAUAUACAAAUAAUAGUUAUACUAAUAUAAACAAAUAAUUUUGAUCAUGCCCAAAUAAAAUACAUUUUUAUAAAAUUUAGAUUUAAUUUUAUAGUAUAUGACAUAGAUUCUUUUUCUUCUUCUUCUUUCUUCUUUGCUUUAUCUCAUGUGGUUGGAUUUGGAGCAUGGACCGUUUGUAUUAUUCAAUUGUGAAAGACCAAUUUCAUUGAGUUGAAAGACCAAUGGGCCAUGGGGAGCAAUGCUUGCUUCACUUAAUUUUUUAAAACUCGUUUUUAGUAGUACAAAAUUUUUUAUCAUGUGAAGUAUGGAUGUUAUUAUCUUUUUAUAUUAAUUUUAUUUUCCUUCCCUUUUUUUAUAUUGAUUUUAUAAAAACAUAUAUGAGGAUAUUAUUUCACUAAAAACAUAUCAUAUGCAUAUAGCUUAACAUGCAACAUUUUCAUACAUAAUCAAAGAUGGAUUUUUUUUUUUUUUUAAUCACUUUUUCUCCCUUUUUUCUUUUCUUUGUAUUUUCUCAUAUACAAACACGGCUUAGAAUUUACUCACAAACAAAGUGUUAUGUUACUUUUAUGGGCAUCGAAUUUAAAGACUUGGCAUGCCGUCAUGUACAUAAGACACAAGUAGAAAGUCUCAUAUUGAAAAUUUAAUUCAUUUAAGCGUACCAUUUUUUUUUGUGAUCAUGGGUCUAAAUAUUAGCGGGGAAAGAGGCGAAUUGACGUUAUAGAAGGCCUAACGCUCAUGUUUUGUAUUUAUUAAUCAUUUAUUGAUGUGAUAAAAAAUUUGUAAUUCAAAAUUUGAUUUUAUCAAGUGAAGUACCCGAUAAACAAAAAUGGAGGAACGUAAAGGGAGGAAAAAAAAGGUGAAACGAAGACAUAUCCCAAAACACUAAUGGCCUAUCCCCUAAAAAUUCUAGCUUUAGAAUUAUUGUCCUAAAAGAAAAAGAUGAGCAAGUGUUUUCUCACGUCAUGGAGUUAUUAUAUAAUGUUAAAAAACUAAAGUAUUGUUUGCUUUCUUAAUUUUUUAUUUUGGUUUUUUUUUAAAACCUUUUGUUAACUUAUUAUUUAUUUCUCAAAAUUUUUUAUUAAAUAAAAAAAUAUAUGAUUUCUUCUAAAUAUUAAAAAUAAUUUAUUAAUUUUUUUUACUUAUUUAAUAGAAAUAAAAUAUAAAAAAAAUAAUUUAAUAUUUGAUAUUAUUAACCAUUAUUUAAUUUUAAAAUUUAUUUAAAAUUAAGUAAAAAACCAAACAUUAAAUGUCUUCAUUGCAAUGUUGGACGUUAUCUACUCUACUCUUUUAUAAAAUCUUUUAUUUUAGAAAAUUUUAGUCUCCAAAGUAGACAUGAGAGAAAUAACAAUUGUGUUAAAUUUAAUUGAAAUAAGUAAAUAAUAAAAAACACUUGAAUGGAUUAAGGACCAAUUUUUUUUAUGCCAAGGGAAGAUGGUGGUGAUAUAUUGACUUGAGUAAGAAUUUCGUAAUUUCUCAAAAGAAAGAUAAAGAGGAAAAAACAACAUUUAUUAAAAGAUAUAUACAUUAGGAUAUCAUAUUCAAAUUUAGUAUUUUUCAAACUGCACCGUUUCGUUUUUCACUUCAUCUAAUUUUACCUUCAAUUCAUUUUUUUUCCUAUUUUAUUUCUUGAAACAUGUAUUGACUAAAGCCUCUGUACCAAUGUUUCAGGACAUGGAGAGGUAGCCGUCCUCCUCCGGCCUCUCCUCCGGGCACAUAAGCUUCUCAACUAUCUGGCUCAUCGUGGGUCUUGAGUCCCUGUCUUCCUCCACACAUUCCAAGGCAACUCCAAUCAGAAUUUCCAUCCGGCGCAGGUCGCAUUCGCCUUGCAUCACAGGGUCCAGGAUGUCUUCAAUCCACGACCCCCUGGCACCAAUCCCAUUCAUUCGAUCCCUCACCCAUUUAAUCAACCCACGCUGCUCUGUCUCUCCUUGGGCAUCAGUAUCGGGGAUAGCAGUUGGGCUCUUCCCUGUCACCAUCUCCAAAACCACGAUUCCAUAGCUAUAAACGUCUACCUUGGAGGUUAUGGGAAGGUUGAAUACCCAUUCAGGAGCCAUGUAUCCUCUGGUUCCUCUGAUCCUCGAGAAACUUGAAUUGUCAAGCCCUCCUCUGUUUCGCAGUUUCGACAUCCCAAAAUCGGCCACUUUUGGCUGGUAAUUAGAGUCCAAGAGUAUGUUCUGAGGCUUGACAUCACAGUGCAGAACCCACUCCAAGCAUUCUUCGUGUAAAUAAGCUAGGCCUCUGGCCGUGCCAAGCGCUAUUUGGAACCUCUUCUCCCAAUCAAGAGUAUUGGAAGAUAGCUUUUGUGCCAAGGAUCCAUGUUCCAUGUACUCAUACACCAACAGCCGGUGCUUCCCCUCUAUGCAAUAUCCCCACGUCUCUAUUAAGUUCAUGUGAUUAAGCCUUCCAAUGGUGCUCACUUCUGCUAGAAAUUCUGCUUCUCCUUGAUUGGCUUCUUUGAGGCGCUUGAUUGCUGCCACUCGACGAUCAAGCAAUACACCUUUAUAUACCACUCCUCCACCUCCUCUUCCAAUCUCUUGGGUGAAACCUCGCGUGGCCUUCUUCAACUCUGCAUAGCUGAAUCUUUUAAACCCGUUUGCAACGAGGAUGUAGCCUUGCAUGGUCGAGACUGGAUCAUGGUGUACCCAAAAUAAGAAAAGCCAUACCAGCAAGACAAUUGCCCCCUCUAGAACUCCCAGUACGUAGGCAAACCACAGCAAAAACUUCAAUGACCCAUUUUCGUGGCCCUUGCGAUAUGUUGUAUCUAGCUGUAUAUAACGAGUGUUGCCUGAACAAUUUAUGGUGAAUUCUUCAAGAGGAUCAUAUCUGGGAAAGAGACUAGCUUUAGGCAGUUUUAGAUACAUGGUUCCAGGAUAAUUUGGCGAACUGAAUCCAUUAAGCAAGAGGGUCUUUGGGUAACAACCGUAAAGGCCGUCGCUAAAAUUUAGCAGGAAGGCCUUGCAUUUGCACAACUGUAAGCAUAGAUUUUCACAGCUUUCAUAGGUGUAAUUGGGGUAGUGACCAUAGUCAUAGCCGUAGAGUUGAACAUGAGGGAGUGGGAAGAAGCCCACCUCAGUUUGGUUACAAGCGAUAUCAGUUUCUGGUGCGCACCCAUAAGACCAGUCAGUUGAAUUUACAAUCUUGAAUCCAGGCAUGCAAGAGCAUCCUCUGCCAUAAGCAGGGGUGUAACUGCAGAGACUGUUGGGUCCGCAGAUGCCAUGAAUCUGGCAUGGUUGGGAGAUAGCCUGCCAUGAAACCGACCAGGUUCCUCUCGUUUCUUCUAGACUAUACAUUCUAAGAUUGCCAUCGAAAUCGAGGGCCAAUCUUCUCUGAGGCCCCGCACCAAAAUCCGCUGACCGAAAUUCCAAAUCAUCUGAUGCUCUAUAAUAACCCAAAGAAUCGAAUACUGCGAUUCGACUGUUGUUGUAUGUGCUUCUUCCAGCAUCCCAGGUCACCAGGCUUGGGUCUGGCCAGUAGAUGCUGGAAACCUCAGUACCAUUGAAGAGAAGGCGGAUGACGUUAUCACUGUCAAAAAAUAGCUUAUAAAAACCAGAAGAAUAGUUGCUUUGGCUUCUUGAGGAGAUAAGGCUGGUAUCUUUGGUCAGUAUCUGGUGAGGAAGAAGAGUAUCUGUGGGUGAGUCAAAGCUCUGCCAAAUCACCGUCUUCUCCCAAGCAUAUAGAACAAGAUUGCCGGUGUUAAGGAGCUGUAAUCUCGCAGAUGAGGUUGAAACGGUGUUGAUCAUCCAAACCAUGAUUUUACCAGCAUCAGUUAAGAGGAGAUUGCCAUUCCUCAACAAAGAAAGCUUGGAGCCUCUACCGUUGACCGGUUGGUCACGGUUCGCCAUCCAAACUGUGGUUGCACCCCAUGAUUUUGUAAACCAUAUGGCGAAGCAGAAAGUGUUGUUGCCGACCUGAUAAAACCCAGCAGAGAAUAUACCAUUUGCUGAAAUGAGAAGAUCAUUUGAUUUCUCCACGGAAAGAGACGAGCCUUCGCUCAGAGUAUCAUACGUUUCAGAUGAAGAUGGAUAGCAAGUUAAUAGCAAAGCCAAAACAAAGAAACCAACUGUCCUAUCCAUGAGUUUUGGGAUAUGGUUUAUGUGCUCUGUUUCCUGAUCAGAUAUUUGCAAUGGAGAAUGCAAGUGUACGGUGCUACCAGAGUUUAGAAAAUAAAUUGACUCCUUGACUGGGGUGAAGGGGGGAAAUUCACAUUGCCCCUCGGGCCAAGUUUUGCUUGUGCCAUCGUGUUGGGUUUCUAAAAGCAUUUCAUGUCAACGUCAAAAUAAUGGGAUGAAGACCCGCUAUUUUUAAUGGGAUCUAUUUUGAUUGGAUGACUUGGGCCAUUCAAAUUUUGUAGUUUCCACUUGGAACAACAAAAUUAUUAUGAGAUACGUCAUUUUGAAGAAAGAUUCUAGAAAUAAGAUGUUAAAUUGAUCUCUUUUCCAUGUAGCUGAACUCGUCAACUGUGAGUCUGAGCCAUAUGAUUUCUGUGCCAUACAGAAGCUUAUUGUUCCAAGUUGCCUGUUCAAAGGUUGACCUGUGAACAGUUUGGAUCCAAAUACAAUGAAUGUGAUGAAAUUUACUGAAACCGGGACUCUCUGACUGGCCUGUGGCCUUUAUGAGUUUUAUUUUAGAGGUGACGUCUGAUGUUGAUUGGCCCAAGCAGGGAAAGAUCAAAUGGGAAACGACGGUCACAACUUGUGGGGUGACUUACCAUUCACCAAGUAACACUUCAAAGAAAUUAAUCGAGCCAAUGGAUUUCACAAGUUCCCUCUUUGCAGAAUUUUGAAUAUUUAAAAAGAAUCUUAACUUUUAAAACCUAAAUUUAUAGUUAAUUUUUAGGUGUAAUUGUGUUUUGGAUGUAGUUGGACCAAAAAAAUUAAGUUUUGAUUCAUAUAAGUUUAUCAUUUAAGUCCAAUACUUAAAGAAAGUAUGAAAAUUAAAAAAAAUGAUAUGAAUUUUUUAUCUUUCUAAAAAUGAUAUUUAUUGACUAUGAAAAAAAUAAGUAGAAAAACAUUAAUUUAAAUUUUAUUCUUUUUAUAAACUUCAAUAAAAUUUAAUUUCAUUUAAUGAUUUGAAAAAAAAAACACCAUUUUAAAAAAAAUAAUAAUAAAUUAUUAUUAUUAUUAUUAUUAUUUAAAAAUCAAACAUAUUGAAAAAAAUAUAUUUUUAAAAUUAUAUAUGUAAAAAAUAACUAAAAACAUGUCAAAAUUUUUUUAAAAAUGAUAUAUUUUUAGAAUAUUUUUUUUUAAAAAAAAUAGUUUUCUUAAAAUAAUAAAUUUUCAGAAUAAUUAUUAAAAAAAAUUAAGAUAAAAAAGUUUGUCAAACAUUAUAAUAGAAAACACUCAAAAUAGUUUUGAAGGGUAUAUGAGUGUUUUCAUAUUUUAUAUCCUUCCCCUUGAUUAUGCCCAGAUAGAUCCAAAACAUUAUUAUCCCUAAUUUUUAAACGCUUAAUUAUUGCGAUUUGAGGGUAAAACAUUUUCUUUUAUUCAAUCAAGAUUGAAUUUAAAAUAAUAGCGUUGGUAUUACUCCCUCUCUUUUAUCCUUUUCUUAUUCUAUCUAAUAGUUGUUUUCUCGCCGCCUUUGUGGGCCAAGAUGAACUAAUGCUAAGAAUUUUAUUCAUCUGCUUUCUUUCAAGACUCACUUAUUGAAUAUAAUAUCUCAAUAAAUAUGGAACCUGAUUUUGAUUAUAUUGGUACAAUUAUUGAUACAACUGUUGGCUCCGCUCAUUUUGAUUAUAUUGGUACAAUUUUAUUCAUCCUAACCUCUAUGUCAACAGGACCACUAAACUUAAGAAAAAACACUAAAUUUUGAAUUUUUAACUUCUAAAAAAAAACACCCGACCCGACUACCUAAUCUAAAUGUUUUCCUUUCUCAUUUGAAAGUUUUCUCUCAUCUUUUUUCACUCAUGACAACCCAAAAUUUCUCUUAUUUCAAUUUAGAAACCCAAAACUGAAACUCCAAAGCGGUGUCAAAAUGCCUCUUUCGACAUGCCUCUGGCUGAGACGCCUCAGCUAGGCGCUUGCCUUGAGCCCUAACUACAGUUAACUCUCGUCUAGGAGCUAUGGGAGUCUAAGACAAUUCGGUAAAAACGAAAUAGAGCUCAGAUGGAGAGAGUAGAUGCCCAAAAACUAAAACCCUAACCUCCAAAUGCGUCCUAAACUCGCAAAUUCGUAUUCAAUAUAGCUUUAUCAGACAUAAAUAGCACCAAACAUCUCUCUUAGACCACCGAAUCGACAAAGCCCUUGAAGAACCAAAGGAAACGGUGCAAAAAAUGAAGCGCAGGAGACUUUUAAAGUAUUGGGUGUUGACGAACUUGUUGAUCGAACCUUGAUCGGUCACCUUUGGUAUUUUGGUGACUGCACCUUAGAUACUACCUUAACUAACCUUUGGUACUACCUUAGUUAAACUUGAAUACUACUUGUGUGAAACCUCAGAACUUCAUUUGUGGAUAUGACUCACUUCAUUUGUGACCUUUAGAGCAUGUCAUUUUGUAAUUAAUUAGUGUGGUCAAUUGGUUCACCUUUUGUAUUUUAGUGACUGUACCUUAGACAUUACCUUAAUAGCCCUAAGAUAUAACCUUAAUUUACCUUAAAUACUACCUUAAUUGACCUUAGGUACUACUUUAGUUAAGCUCAUUCAACUUUCUAAGAGCAAGUUGGUGUCCUUUUCAGUUUUAGACAUAAAAUAGGUCAACCGGUUAUCCUUUCUCGAUCAAGGUUUGGUUGAGAAUGAAGUAAGUAAUAUCCACAAAUGAAAUUCCGAGGCUUCAGAUAGGUAGUACCCAAGUUUUACUAAGGUAGUACAUAAGGUUGGUUAAGAUAGUAUCUAAAAAAAAUAUAUGCCAUGAUAAAAGAAAUCCACCAUGAUAAUCCGUUGGGAGAAAAAUCGAUAGAAAAUCGGUAAUUUCACUGAAAAAUCAACGAAAUCUCGGUGAUAAGUUGGGAUGUAUGGCAACUUUGGGCAAUCAGUGGUAUAAAAAAAAUUGUGGUGAAAUAUUAGCAACCCAUUUUUUUGGUGGCAGUUUUUUUUUUUUUUUUAAUUUUAUAAUUUAUCCUGUUUUUAAAAUUUUUAAUUAUUCAUUUUUAAUUUAUCAUUUCAUUUUUAACUAUUUUUUAUAUUUAUCACAUUAAUUUUAUUUAAAAAAAUUACUAUCACUUCACUCUUAAUUUUUCUUAUAUUUAUCCUUUUAAUUUUAUUUAAUUUUAAAUGUUUUUGUUUUAAAAUAUUAAAAAUAUAAUUUUACUAAAAAAUUGUUACAAUAAAAAAAAUUAAUGAAGUUCUAAUAUUUUAUAAAUUAAAAUUAAUUUAAUAAAACAAAUUAUUAAUAAUUUUAAUUAUUAAAAUAAAUUAAUUUUAAUAGAAAAAGUUGUCAAUAUUUGUAAUAAAAUUUUAGAAAUUAAAUCUUAAAUAAAAUAUGUUAUAUAAAUCAAUUUAAUUUUUUAUUUACAAUGUAAUAAAACAUGGUUUAAUAAAAAUAUUUUUAAAAUGUUAAAAUAAAUUAAUAUAAAUAUAUUAAAGGAAAUUAAGCUAUUUUUUUAUGAAAAUUUGAUAAAUAUUAUCUUUAAUCAUGUUUGGUAGUUACAAAAUAAUUUUAAUAUAUAUAUUUUUUUAUUUCAUCAUAUUUUUGAAAGCUUUUUAUAUGAAUUUUGAACUACUUGUGUUUGAUAUGAUAUUUUUGUCAAAAUAUUCAUCGAUAUUUAUUCGAUAUUUUCGAUAUAUCCAUAAAAUUUAAAUACCAUGUAUCCAUAUUUAACGAUAUAUUUCUAACAUUUGAGUUGAUGGGAAAUGUGAAUGAGAUUAAGAAAAAUAGAGAAUGUUGAGUUUUAAUUGGUUAUAAGAAAUGAAAUAAUUCUCAAAUCCAAAAUUUAACGAUUCCCAUAUUUUUUUUGUGGAAAAAUAACUUUUUUUUUUAUAUAUAUAUAAAUGUUAUUUUUUAUUUCAAAUAUAAUGUGAAUGAGAUUAAGAAAAAUAGAGAAUGUUGAGUUUUAAUUGGUUAUAAGAAAUGAAAUAAUUCUCAAAUCCAAAAUUUAACCAUUUCCAUAUUUUUUUGUGGAAAAAUAACUUUUUUAUAUAUAUAUAUAUAUAAAUGUUAUUUUUUAUUUCAAAUAUCUAUAUAUAAGUUUUAAAAAAAAUAAUUAUUUUUAUAAGAAAAUAAUGAGGAUAUUUUUAUCUAAAUGAUCUCAAAAAAAAAAAUACCUAAAGAUAUUUUUGUAUGAUGUCUUGUCCAUCAUAAAAAAAAUUACUCAGGGAGGGUGUAGUUUGGUAAAGAGACCGAGCUCGUGGAUGGAAGCUCUGGCCCACAUCCGAAGAUUUCAUAACGACGUAUAAAGUAUAAACUAUCCUAGGCCUUCGCUUAUAACUUCAUUUGUGUGUUCCUUCCCAGAAUUUGAUUCAAGGUUCGCCCUACAGCCUUUUCAGCUGAUCCAAUUUCAUAGAUUACAUGGAUGCGCCAGUUCUUUUGCUUCUUCUCGCUCUGCUUCUAUCUUCUCCACUUCCAUCGUCUACCCUCGACAGUUUGAGUCAAGGCUCAUCCCUAUCAGUUGGGAAGCCUGAACAAGUUUUAAUUUCACAAAGUAGAAUCUUUUCAGCCGGCUUCUACCCCGUCGGUGACAAUGCUUAUUGUCUUGCCAUGUGGUUCACCAAACCAUCCUACGACGGGAAACAUACGGUUGUUUGGAUGGCAAACCGAAACCAACCAGUUAAUGGGAAUUUCUCAAAGCUUUCCCUGCUAAAAAAUGGUGAUCUUAUCUUAACAGAUGCCGGGCGGUUCAUAGUUUGGGCCACAAAGACGGUUGGGAUUUCUCCGGUGCGAUUACAUCUCUUCAAAUAAAAUACUUGACAGUGGCAUGUUGUGUUGGACCCUUGUAGUUGUUGGUUGUACAGGGCGGAUCCGCUUGAUUAGCUUUUGUAGCAUAUUGUAAGCAUGCAUGGCUCUCAAAAUCUUAAGAGACAGAAAUGAAAUUUACUCUAAUAAUAUAUAUAGACACGUAAAGAUAAAAAUAUACUAUUAUCCUUUUUCAUAUAGUAUUGUAUCUUGUAUAGAAUACAUAAUCACUUGAAGUAAUUGUAUUACCCAAUAAAUUGUACCUAGUUUUAGUGACGUAACCAACAAUUUGAUUUAAGGGUGGCAACUAUUAAUGCAUAUAUAGGCCUUAGCUCAAUAGUCAAGACUUGUUAUUGUUAAGGGAGACAUUAUCUGUCUUGAGUUCAAAUUCUUAUAUUGUAAAAAUUGAAUCUUUUAUUUUUUAGCAUUUUCAUGAGGAGAGAUGACCCCCAUAGGCUCUAUCUGGCUCUAUGUCAAUGCCUAGUUUAUUGAUCGAUGGUGUUUGAAUCUAUUUAUUUUUUAUUCUUAACAUUUUCAAGGGGUAGGUGCCCCUUAGGCCUUACCCAGCUCUACUUGUAUCUAGUUUAUUGAUUGAUGGUGUUUGAAUCUAUUCAUUAUAAAAUUUUCUUAUUUUUUAUUUUAGUUAAUAUUUUAUUUAAAUUGUUAAGCUUGUUUUCAAUGAUUAAAAUAAAUAAAAACAGCAUGCAUUAUUAAUUUAUUACGUCAAGUACAAUAAAAUAAGAAAAUAAUAUACUUGGCUAAAUAAGUUCAUUCAAUAGUAUUUCAGAAAGUAACUUUCAAAUGAUAAGGAAGUAACAAUAUUACACAAAAAAAAAAAAGUUCUCUGAGGUUAAAUUAUAUCUUAUAUUUAAUUAUUAAUAAAAAUAGAAUAGUCAAUUGUACUUUUAUUCAUACCUCAUAUUACUAUAUUAGAUGAUAAGCCAGUAUAGAUAGAUUAAUACUAUGAUUGGUUUCAAAAAAUUAUUAAGAAAAGAAAAAGAAUAUUAAGAAAAAUAGGUUUUUAAUAUCUUAUUUUAGUAUAAAAAUAAAAAAUAAGAUAUAAUUAAAAUUAAUUAAAAACUUACAUAUUUUUAAAUUAUUUGAUAUUUAUAUAAAAAAUAAUAUAUUAACUUAAAUGAGUUUAAGAUGGUAUAUAAAAUAAUUUAUCAGCUUUAAAUUUUUUUUUUUUUUACUUUUACAUGAUACUUAAAAAGGUAUAUAAAUAGAGAAACAGUAUACUAAAUAAAAUAAUUUUAUCUAUAUAUAAAAAUAAUUUAUUAAUUUAAAAUCUAUUUUUAUUUCCUUUUAACUUUUCUUUCCUUUCUUUUUCCAUAUUUUCCAAAUACUUCACAGAGCACUCCACUCCCUUUUUUUUUUUCUUUUUUUUUUCUUUUUUACCUCAAAAUUUCAGAAACCAAACAUAAAAAUACAAACACAGGUGUAAAGUUUGUAUCUUUGUGAAACUCAUGUAAUCCUGACCCAUGGGAACCUUCCCAUACAAUUAAUUUCCUGCAAAGGAAGGCGGCAGCAACAUGUCAUUGGGUGAGCGUCUUAGGAGACAAAAUCUGACCAGCGGUUGAAGGAAAAAUGCACAAUUUAACUUAUCUGUGGAAGCUUGCCCAGCUGGGUCGUUUUCCAAAACACGAGGCUGCAGCUUGGAACCUGGGGCAUUCAUAUUCCAUCAUCAUCAUUAUUAACAUUUUUAUUCCAUCUAGCUUUCACCUUCCCAUGGGAAUUGCUACCAUCCGCACAAGUCAAGAGCGACUUUGUCUUUUCCAUAAAUAUUAGUAUUAUUUGUGUGUUCCUUCCCAGAAUUUGAUUCAAGCUCAGCCCUACGGCCUUUUCAACUGAUCCAACUUCAUAGAUGACAUGGAUGCGCCAGUUCUUUUGCUUCUUCUCACUCUGCUUCUAUCUUCUCCACUUCCAUCGUCCACCCUCGACAGUUUGAGUCAAGGCUCAUCCCUCUCAGUUGGAAAGCCUGAACAAGUUUUGAUUUCACAAAGUGGAAUCUUCUCAGCUGGCUUCUACCCCGUCGGUGAUAAUGCUUAUUGUCUUGCCAUAUGGUUCACCAAACCAUCCUACGACGGCAAACAUACCGCUGUUUGGAUGGCAAACCGAAACCAACCAGUUAAUGGGAAUUUCUCAAAGCUUUCGCUGCUAGAAAGUGGUGAUCUUAUCUUAACAGAUGCUGGGCGGUUCAUAGUUUGGACCAUAAAGAGGGUUGGGAUUUCUCCGGUGCAAUUACACCUCUUCAACACUGGUAACCUUGUGCUGCGUACCUCGGAUGGUGUUAUUCAAUGGCAAAGUUUCGAUUCACCAACAGAUACCCUUCUCCCUCACCAACCACUCACCAGAAAUACGAGACUCGUCUCUUCAAGAACCAAAACCAACUUUUUCUCAGGGUUUUAUAAGCUCUAUUUUGACAACAAUAACGUCCUCAGUCUUGUCUUCGAUGGGCGGGACGCUUCAAGCAUUUACUGGCCCCCAUCGUGGCUUGUAAGCUGGCAGGCGGGAAGAUCGGCAUACAACAGCAGCAGAACUGCAUUACUAGAUAACUUUGGCUAUUUUUCUUCAUCCGACGAUUUUAAGUUUCAGUCCUCGGAUUUUGGUGAGAGAGUCCAAAGAAGAUUGACCCUGGAUAUUGAUGGCAACUUACGAUUAUACAGUUUUGAGGAAAGGAGAAAUAAGUGGGUUGUUACUUGGCAAGCCAUCACGCUACAAUGCAACAUUCAUGGAAUAUGCGGACCCAACAGUAUUUGUACCUAUGUGCCUGGUUCUGGGAGUGGAAGGAGAUGCUCUUGCAUACCUGGAUAUGAGAUGAAAAAUCGCACUGACCGAACUUAUGGAUGCAUACCUAAAUUCAAUCUUUCUUGCGACUCACAGAAGGUUGGUUUCCUCCUACUCCCACACGUUGAGUUCUACGGCUAUGAUUAUGGCUAUUACCCCAAUUACACCUUACAGAUGUGUGAAAAACUGUGCUUGGAAAUAUGUGGCUGCAUAGGAUAUCAAUACAGCUAUAAUUCGGAUGUUUAUAAAUGUUAUCCUAAGCGGCUGUUGCUCAACGGAUACCGCUCGCCUAGUUUUGUAGGACAUAUAUACCUAAAAUUGCCUAAAGCUAGUCUUCUUUCCUAUGAAAAACCGGUUAAGGAAUUCAUGUUAGAUUGCUCUGGCAACCGCUCAGAGCAGCUAGUAAGAUCUUAUGCAAAAGCCCACGAAAAUGAAGUGUUAAAGUUCAUCCUCUGGUUUGCGUGCGCAAUUGGAGCAGUUGAGAUGGUUUGCAUUUGUAUGGUGUGGUGUUUCUUGAUGAAGGCCCAGCAAAACACCAGUACAGAUCCGCCAGGCUACAUUUUAGCUGCCACGGGAUUCAGAAAAUUCACCUAUACUGAGCUGAAGAAAGCAACACGGGGUUUCAGUGAGGAGAUUGGCAGAGGAGGAGGUGGGGUUGUAUACAAAGGUGUCUUAUCAGACCACCGAGUGGCAGCCAUCAAGCAGCUCAGUGGAGCUAACCAAGGAGAAUCUGAAUUCUUGGCAGAAGUAAGUACCAUUGGGAGGCUUAACCACAUGAACUUGAUAGAGAUGUGGGGUUAUUGCUUUGAGGGGAAGCACAGGCUCUUGGUUUAUGAAUACAUGGAGCAUGGAUCACUAGCACAAAACCUCACUUCCAAUACACUUGAUUGGCAGAAGAGGUUCGACAUUGCGGUGGGCACAGCAAAAGGCCUGGCUUAUUUACACGAAGAGUGCUUGGAGUGGGUUCUACACUGCGAUGUGAAGCCUCAAAACAUACUCCUAGACGUUAAUUAUCAGCCAAAGGUGGCAGACUUCGGCCUGUCAAAGUUACAGAACAGAGGAGAAAUCAACAAUUCGAGAUUGUCGAGGAUCAGAGGAACAAGAGGUUACAUGGCUCCAGAAUGGGUUUUGAACCUCCCCAUCACCUCCAAAGUAGACGUUUAUAGCUAUGGUAUUGUGGUUCUGGAGAUGGUUACCGGCCGAAGGAGUGCUUCAAUGGCCAUCCACGGUACAGAUGGCAUAGGGGAACGUCAGAGUUUGGUGGCAUGGGUGAAAGGGAAGAUGAAUGGAGCAACUGCGGUUGCUUCGUGGAUGAAAGAAAUCCUAGACCCGUCGAUGGAAGGCGAAUAUGACAUGGGUGAGAUGGAAAUUCUAGUAGCAGUGGCUUUGCAAUGUGUGGAAUUGGACAAGGAUGAAAGACCCACCAUGAGUCAGGUGGUCGAGACGCUUCUCCGCCCCGAACGUGGAAACAAUCAUCACUACUAAUAAAUUAAUGCCUCGUAUGGGGCCCAAGUGAGGUGGCUUUCUGUACCUGUUCCGCCCAUUUAUGAUAUUUGUAAAAAGACAGUAAUUUUAAGUAGAAUAAUUGAGAAGCCGAAUCUUUUGAUACAACAUACAAUAUAAUUAUAUUGAAGUAUCUUUUUAAAAGAUACAACUUGGUUAUAAAUUUUAAUGUCAAUCUUCUCGAAUGUUAAGUAAAAAAUUGUUUAAUUUUUUUAGAAAAUCUUUAAUAUUAUGUCACUAUAUUUAAAGUAUUUUUUAAGAGGUUAUCAAAAUUUGAUAUUAUUUUUUAAUUCAAAUUUAUAAUUAUAAUUUAUAAAUAGUUUUUUAAUUAUUAUAAAAUACCGGACUUCUUACUAGAUCAAUUAGAAUGGACGAUCAUCUAUUCCUCUAUAUCUCUUCAAUAUUGUUGCUAUCCUCCUCCCAACUUUAUAUAAAAUAAAAAUUUUACUAAUAAAUAUUACAUGGAAUUUUGUUCCCAAUAUCUCUCCUUCGUACUCUUAUCUUAUUAAACUCUUCUUUUACAAUAUUAAUUGAUAUAUUUUAGGUAUUUGUAUGUUAGUGAAUUAAUUUAAAUAUCGUAGGUUUUGACUUUUGGGACAACCAUUUUAGAGAGCUCAUACAUCACGCACUACCACCUCAACCUUCUUUGACAUUCAUUUAUUUAUUUUUAUUACCUUUCGAUCGGUGAUAUCAUUGCUUAGGAACAAUAAUUAUUGUGAAGGCAUUUUAUCUUUUUCGUUUACCCAAGAAUAAUCAUACUAAUAUAAACAAAUAAUUUUGAUCAUGCACAAAUAAAUAUAUUUUUAUAAAAUUUAGAUUUAAUUUUUUAGUAUAUGACAUAGAUUCUUCUUCUUCUCCUUUGCUAAAUCUCAUGUGGUUGGAUUUGGAGCAUCGACUGUACGUAUUAUUCAAUUGUGAAAGACAAAUUUCAUUGAGUUGAAAGACCAAUGGGCCAUGGACGCAAUGCUUGCUUCACUUAAUUUUUUAAAACUCGUUUUUAGUAGUACAAAUUUUUUUAUUAUAUAAAGUAUUGAUGUUAUUAUCUUUUUAUAUUAAUUUUAUUUUUCUUCCAUUUUUUAUAUUGAUUUUAUAAAAACAUAUCUUGGGAUAUUAUUUCACUAAAAACAUAUCAUAUGCAUAACCGUUUAACAUGCAAUUUUUUCAUACAUAAUCAAAGAUAGACUUUUUUUUCCUUUUACUUUUUUUCCUUCUUUUUUUUUUUUUGGUAUUUUGUCGUAAACAAACACGGUCUUAGAAUUUAAUCACAAACAAAGUAUUAUGUUACUUUUAAUCAAAUUUAAGGACUUGGCAUGCCUGUCAUGUACUUUAGACACAAAUGAAAAGUUUGAGGUCUCCUAUUGAAAAUUUAAUUCAUUCCAGUAUACCAUAUUAUUAUUAUUAUUAUUAUUUUGGUGAUCAUGGGUAUAAAUAUUACUAGGAAAAAAGGCAAAUUGACGUAAUAGAAGGCCUAACGGCUCAUGUUUUGUAUUUAUUUAAAUUAGUAUUUAUUAAUCAUUUAUUGAUGUGAUAAAAAAUUUGUAAUUCAAAAUUUGAUUUUAUCAAGUGAAGUACCCGAUAAACAGAAACGGAGGAACCUAAAGGGAGGGAAAAAAAAAAGGUGAAAUGAAGACACAUCCAAAAACCCUAAUGGCCUAUUGUCACACCCUCGAAAAUCACCUUAAAUUUUUCUUACGAGUGCGUGGUGCUAAGGACCCGUCCUUAGCCAACCUUCCCUUCCCAACGUUUAGAAGAACAGAAUAGAAUACAGAAAUCAAAGCAACAGGGACACACGAGGUUGCAGGAAAAUCCUUUCCCAACUUGUAUUAAUCACUCUUACAAGACAAAAUUGCUUCUUGAACUAGAGUACAAUGCACUUACCCAAGGCAUACAAGAAGGAAUCCUUUCCCCAACUCUCACCCUCUGUUUCAAGGCUGCAGGAGCCCUAUUUAAAUGACUCAUCUACAGUUACACAUUUGAAUUCCCUCAAUUCAAAUCUUGGAGCCAACUAGGUGGUCAUGCAACUGGCCAGAACUGCCCUCAACUGCUUGCACAACCACCCACUGUGGAUUCGGCUCCUUGCGACACGUGGCAUCGCGCAUUUCACCCGGACGGAAAUUCUCCCUUAUUCCACCCGAAUAUCUCAUAUCCGGAAUUCUGUCCGCUGACGUUCCACUCGGAUAUCUCACAUCCGGCGCCUGUCCGCCGCCGUUCCACUCGGAUAUCUUACAUCUGGCGCCUGUCCACCGUUGUUCCACCCGAAUAUCUCUCAUCCGACGCCCCAUGUCAUCGGAUAGGAGAGGAGGACGAUUCAACUUCCCCAGGUAGACAUGUCCGAAUCCUUUGGUAACGCCUAUUCGGGGUGCGCGCAUGACUUGUCCACGAUCCCCACACUUAGCUCCUGGGGUUUGAACCACAAAACCUCCAGGCUUUCCUUGCUUUCCACCUAGGCUCUCAUAGGUGCAAGACCUACCCAUGAGGCUUAUUUCUCCGGGUUUGAAUCAAGUGGAUAAGGGGUUGACACAUAUCCCCUAAAAAUUCUAGCUUUAGAAUUAUUGUCCUAGAAGAAAAAGACGAGCAAGUGUUUUCUCACAUCAUGGAGUUACUAUAUAACGUUAAAAAACUAAAGUAUUGUUUGUUUUCUUAAUUUUUUAUUUCGGUUUUUUUUAAACCUUUCAUUAACUUAUUAUUUACUUCUUAAAUUUUUUUAUUAAAUAAAAAAUUUUAAAUAUAUAAAAUUUUUAAAUAUUGAAAAUAAUUCAUUAAUUUUUCUUUACUUAUUUAAUAAAAAUAAAAUAUAAAAAAUGAACAAUUUAAUACUUAAUAUUAUUAAAUACUAUUUAAUUUUAAAUUUUAUUUAAAAUUAAGUUAAAAAGAAACACCAUUUAAAUGUCUUCAUUGUGUGUUGGACAUUAUCAACUCUACUCUUUUAUAAAAAAAUUUAUUUUAGGAAAUUUUAGUUUCCAAAUGAAGUAGGUUUAUAAACAUAUCAAUUGCCUUAAAUUUAAUUGAAAUAAAUAAACAAUAAAAAAACACUUGAAUUGAUUAAGGAACAAUUUUUUUAUGCCAAGGGAAGAUGGUGGUGAUAUAUUGAUUUGAGUAAGGAUUUCAUAAUUUCUCAAAAGAAAGAGAAAGAGGAAAAAGCAAGAUUUAUUAAAAGAUAGAUACAUUAGGAUAUCAUAUUCGAAUUUAGUAUUUUUGUUUUCUCUUCUUUAUAAAACUAAAUAAUAGAAAUCAAAUACUUUUACCAACUUCGCAUACUGCACCGUUUCGUUUUUCACUUCGUCUAAUUUUACCUUCAAUUCAUUUGUUUCCUAUUUUAUUUCUUGAAACAUGUAUUGACUAAAGCCUCUGUACCAAUGUUUCAGGACAUGGAGAGGUAGCCGUCCUCCUCCGGCCUCUCCUCCGGUCACAUAAGCUUCUCAACUAUCUGGCUCAUCGUGGGUCUUGAGUCCCUGUCUUCCUCCACACAUUCCAAGGCAACUCCAAUCAGAAUUUCCAUCCGGCGCAGGUCGCAUUCGCCUUGCAUCACAGGGUCCAGGAUGUCUUCAAUCCACGACCCCCUGGCACCAAUCCCAUUCAUUCGAUCCCUCACCCAUUUAAUCAACCCACGCUGCUCUGUCUCUCCUUGGGCAUCAGUAUCGGGGAUAGCAGUUGGGCUCUUCCCUGUCACCAUCUCCAAAACCACGAUUCCAUAGUUAUAAACGUCUACCUUGGAGGUUAUGGGAAGGUUGAAUACCCAUUCAGGAGCCAUGUAUCCUCUGGUUCCUCUGAUCCUCGAGAAACUUGAAUUGUCAAGCCCUCCUCUGUUUCGCAGUUUCGACAUCCCAAAAUCGGCCACUUUUGGCUGGUAAUUAGAGUCCAAGAGUAUGUUCUGAGGCUUGACGUCACAGUGCAGAACCCACUCCAAGCAUUCUUCGUGUAAAUAAGCUAGGCCUCUGGCCGUGCCAAGCGCUAUUUGGAACCUCUUCUCCCAAUCAAGAGUAUUGGAAGAUAGCUUUUGUGCCAAGGAUCCAUGUUCCAUGUACUCAUACACCAACAGCCGGUGCUUCCCCUCUAUGCAAUAUCCCCACGUCUCUAUUAAGUUCAUGUGAUUAAGCCUUCCAAUGGUGCUCACUUCUGCUAGAAAUUCUGCUUCUCCUUGAUUGGCUUCUUUGAGGCGCUUGAUUGCUGCCACUCGACGAUCAAGCAAUACACCUUUAUAUACCACUCCUCCACCUCCUCUUCCAAUCUCUUGGGUGAAACCUCGCGUGGCCUUCUUCAACUUUGCAUAGCUGAAUCUUUUAAACCCGUUUGCAACGAGGAUGUAGCCUUGCAUGGUCGAGACUGGAUCAUGGUGUACCCUAAAUAAGAAAAGCCAUACCAGCAAGACAAUUGCCCCCUCUAGAACUCCCAGUACGUAGGCAAACCAAAGCAAAAACUUCAAUGACCCAUUUUCAUGGCCCUUGCGAUAUGUUGUAUCUAGCUGUAUAUAACGAGUGUUGCCUGAACAAUUCAUGGUGAAUUCUUCAAGAGUGUUGGAAAUCAAGCCAGCAUCCUCUGUUUACUUCCCUAAUUAGUGUAAUGUACAGCCUUUAUUAUAAUUGAUUUAGGAGUAAUUCUAGCAAGGUAGUUUAUUCACUUUCCAUGUAAGAGUAGUUUAUUCACUUCCCAUGUAAGAGUAGUUUAUUCACUUCCCAUGUAAGAGUUUAUUCACUUUCCAUGUAAGGGAAAUUCCAUUCCGGAAUUGUCUCAUAUCUGUAGGCUAUUUAUUUAUGCUUUCAUUCAUUGUAAAGGGUGAGAUCACGGAAUGAAUUGAGGUGUUCCUCCAUAGUUUGUCUUCAAAUUCUUCAUAUUUUUCUUCAAAUUCUUCAAAGAUGAUCAUAUCUGGGAAAGAGACUAGCUUUAGGCAGUUUUAGAUACAUGGUUCCAGGAUAAUUUGGCGAACUGAAUCCAUUAAGCAAGAGGGUAUUUGGGUAACAAUCGUAAAGGUCGUCGCUAAAAUUUAGCAGGAAGGCCUUGCAUUUGCACAACUGUAAGCAUAGAUUUUCACACCUUUCGUAGGUGUAAUUGGGGUAGUGACCAUAGUCAUAGCCGUAGAGUUGAACAUGAGGGAGUGGGAAGAAGCCCACCUCAGUUUGGUUACAAGCGAUAUCAGUUUCUGGUGCACACCCAUAAGACUAGUCAGUUGAAUUUACAAUCUUGAAUCCAGGCAUGCAAGAGCAUCCUCUGCCAUAAGCAGGGGUGUAACUGCAGAGACUAUUGGGUUCGCAGAUGCCAUGAAUCUGGCAUGGUUGGGAGAUAGCCUGCCAUGAAACCGACCAGGUUCCUCUCGUUUCUUCUAGACUAUACAUUCUAAGAUUGCCAUCGAAAUCGAGGGCCAAUCUUCUCUGAGGCCCUGCACCAAAAUCCGCUGACCGAAAUUCCAAAUCAUCUGAUGCUCUAUAAUAACCCAAAGAAUCGAAUACUGCGAUUCGACUGUUGUUGUAUGUGCUCCUUCCAGCAUCCCAGGUCACCAGGCUUAGGUCUGGCCAAUAGAUGCUGGAAACCUCAGUACCAUUGAAGAGAAGGCGGAUGACGUUAUCACUGUCAAAAAAUAGCUUAUAAAAACCAGAAGAAUAGUUGCUUUGGCUUCUUGAGGAGAUAAGGCUGGUAUCUUUGGUCAGUAUCUGGUGAGGAAGAAGAGUAUCUGUGGGUGAGUCAAAGCUCUGCCAAAUCACCGUCUUCUCCCAAGCAUAUAGAACAAGAUUGCCGGUGUUAAGGAGCUGUAAUCUCGCAGAUGAGGUUGAAACUGUCACGCCCCAAGACCCACUCCAAGGGCGUGACGGUCAUUUCACACCUCAAACCCGAAGGCUUAAAGUAUAAUCUGACCCGAACAAUCAUAUUAUAACUAGAUGUUACCAAUUACCAAAUACCUGUUCAGAGUAGCAGAACAAAAUCUAAAUUCCUCAAAAUUCAAUUUCCAAAUAACUUCCAAAUAUCAAAUGAUCCAAAUGAACAUAACUAACAGUUAAACAAAAUCCAACAUAAAAUCCUAAGUCAAAUCUUAAUGAUGACCAUUCUUCAGCCUAGCCAUCACUCCUCACCCGAACUAAGAGUACCUGAAAAUUUUCAACAAUUGGGAAUGAGCUCACAGCCCAAUAAGGAAUAUUAAUGCAAUUCAUGGAUCAAAUAUUUUCAUUUCAAAUAGGAGAUAUCAAUUUUUUUUUUUCUCAUCAAAUAUCAGAGUUCCAAAAAUACCAAUAUAUUCAAAAUUCAACCAACCAAUUUCAUAUCAAAUUCAAACACUUUCACAUAAAAUUCAAUCAAAUUCAUUCAAGUUUCAUUACUCUGGUUAUCAAAUAUCAAAUGCCCAGUUAGGUGGGACUUUUCAAAUGGGUGGCUAGCCUCAAAUUGUUCCUGGUGGACGGAACCUAAACACNNNNNNNNNNNNNNNNNNNNNNNNNNNNNNNNNNNNNNNNNNNNNNNNNNNNNNNNNNNNNNNNNNNNNNNNNNNNNNNNNNNNNNNNNNNNNNNNNNNNCCGAACUAAGAGUACUGAAAAUUUUCACAAUUGGGAAUGAGCUCACAGCCCAAUAAGGAAUAUUAAUGCAAUUCAUGGAUCAAAUAUUUUCAUUUCAAAUAGGAGAUAUCAAUUUUUUUUUUUCUCAUCAAAUAUCAGAGUUCCAAAAAUACCAAUAUAUUCAAAAUUCAACCAACCAAUUUCAUAUCAAAUUCAAACACUUUCACAUAAAAUUCAAUCAAAUUCAUUCAAGUUUCAUUACUCUGGUUAUCAAAUAUCAAAUGCCCAGUUAGGUGGGACUUUUCAAAUGGGUGGCUAGCCUCAAAUUGUUCCUGGUGGACGGAACCAAACACUACUAGUACUAGUAACCUCUAACCAAACCCCUAGAGGCUGGGGUCCAAAUCAAUUACAUUCCCACCAUGAAAUGUAAAGGUCAACUAUUAUAUCCCGUUGAUAGGGCCGAAUAGUCAAUUAUUAUAUCCCGUUGACAAGGGUCAAAUAAACCAGAGUGAUGUUUUUGUUCAAGUUUUCAAAUUUACACAACAUAAUAUCUCCAUAUUUUGUGUCAUAAAUAAAACAAAAUAUUCCAACAUAACAUUUAGUGCAAAACAAUUUGAUCCAUGCAUGGUAACAAAAUAUCAUUUUCUUUUCCACAAUUCAAAAUAACAUAUAAGAUAAUUUAAUUUUAUAAAUAUUACAUUAACUUCCCUUACCUCAAAAGAAGUCCUUGAAAGCUUGGGAGAAGAAUAAUUCUGAAAAAAAAAAUAUAAUCUACUCUUCACCUAAUAUAACAUAAAAGAAACAAUUAUUACUAUUUAUUUAUAAUUUAACUAAUCUAUUCCUUAUUAAAAAAAAAUUAAAAAAUUCCCAAUUGGUUUUUAAUAUACCAUUACUAAUUUAAUUAAAUAAUACCUUUAUUUGGCUAUAAAAUUCUAUAUUUAUAUAUUUAUAUAUGGCUAAUUUUCUUUUUCUUUUUUUACCAAAAAUACCAUUUUUAUUUUUUUUUUAUUUAAAAAUUUAAAACUAAUUUUUUUUUUUUAAUUACCCAAUUCCAACCCAUCCACCUUGGGGUACACCAAACCAAAAAGCAAGUUUUUAUUUUUAUUUUUUAUUUUUUUUUCAUUCCCAACCAGGAUCCAUUAAUAUAUAUAUAUAUAUAUAUAUAUAAAAGGGGCUUCCUGGCACACGCACCUUUUUUUUUUUUUUUUAAUAAAAUUAACCCUAACCUAAAAUCAAAACCUUCCAAGAAAUUUUUUUUUUUUUCUAAUAAAACUUAAGAUCUCCCAAAUUCCAAUACUAAAAUCAAAAUAUUAAAUUUUCACUAUUUGAUAUUAAAACGAAUUAAAAAAAUAAUCUAACCCUAAUCUAGAUUUGGGGUUUUCCAAAAAAAUAUAUCUAAUGUGUUUGAAAUUAAUCAAUGAAUCUAAAAUAUUAAACUAGGGGUUAGAAUCUUACCUAUAGAGAUCUGUUCUUCAACCCUGAAAUCUGACUCCAAUCUUACGUUCUCUGGAAUUCUACGAACAGGAAAUCUAUUCAGAAAAAAAGGGAAAAAAAUAAAAUUUCUAAUUUAUACCUAGGGUAUUUAUUCGUAAAAUUACACUUUUACCCUUCUUCCACUUUAUUAAAUUAAUUAAUUAAUUAAUUUAAUUAUUAAUAACAAUUUCCUAAAUUACCCUUAAAAGAAAAUGCUUGGGCAUUACAUCCUCCCCUCCUUAACAAAAGUUUAGUCCUCUAAACUUGACAUACCUGAGUCUUGAAAUAAUUGAGGAUGUUUUUCUCUCAUCUCUUCUUCUAACUCCCAAGUGGCCUCUCGGAUACUAUGAUUGCUCCACUGGACCUUUACCAACUUGACAACAGCAUGUCGUAGUACCUUAUCCAUCAUAUCCACAAUUUGAACGGGUACCUCUUCAUAGGUCAAGUCCUCAAAAUUUUGAAUAGGCUCCAACUCCACAACAUGAGAAGGAUCAUAAAUAUACUUCCUUAGAGUCGAAACAUGAAACACAUUAUGAACCUUAGACAAGCUUGGGGGCAAGACUACUUUAUAUGCCAAAGUGCCUACUCUUUCUAAUAUUUCAAACGGACCCACAAAACGAGGACUAAGUUUUCCUUUUCUCCCAAAUCUCAUCACAUACUUCAUAGGUGAAACUUUCAAGAACACAUGAUCACCCACCUCAAACUCCAAAUCUCGCCUACGAUGAUCAGCAUAACUCUUAUGUCUACUUUGAGCUGCUUUUAAUAUUUCUUUAAUCAAAGCAACCUUUUCAACAGUCAACUGCACAAGUUCAGGCCCCAAAAGUUUCCUUUCUCCAACAUCAUUCCAAUAGAUAGGAGAUCGACAUUUCCUACCAUACAAUGCCUCAAAAGGUGUCAUCCCAAUGCUAGCUUGAAAACUAUUGUUAUAGGCAAACUCUACUAAAGGUAAAUGAUCAUCCCAAUUACCUUGCAGGUCCAAAAUACAAGCUCUCAACAAGUCUUCCAAAACCUUAAUUACCCUUUCUGAUUGGCCAUCAGUUUGAGGAUGGAAAGCAGUACUAAAACUCAACUUAGUGCCCAAAGUUUUUUGUAGACUAUGCCAGAAUCUAGAAGUGAAACGAGGAUCUCUAUCAGACACUAUAGAAACUGGUACUCCAUGCAUUCUCACAAUCUCCUUCACAUAAAGAGAAGCUAAACGAUCUAAAGAAAAGUUCACUUUCAUAGGUAAAAAGUGAGCAGACUUUGUCAACCGAUCAACAAUCACCCAAAUAGCAUUAUUACCCCCUAAGGUUCUUGGCAAUCCUAUCACAAAAUCCAUGGUAAUAUGCUCCCACUUCCACUCAGGAAUAGCAAGUGGCUGCAAAGACCCUGCUGGUCGUUGAUGUUCAGCCUUCACCUGUUGACACACUAAAUACUGAGCCACAAAUUGUGCAAUAUCACGCUUCAUACCUGACCACCAAUAGUUUUGCCUCAAAUCCUUGUACAUCUUUGUCCCUCCUGGGUGGAUUGCAAACUUGGAACAAUGAGCUUCCUCUAAAAGCUCCCUCUUUAAGUCUUCAUCAUUUGGGACACAAAGUCUAGUCCCAAAUCUCAAGAUCUCAUCAUCUGACAAAACAAAAUCAGGCUUACUGUCCCUCUUAACUUCCUCCAUAACUUGCACUAAUUGGGAAUCAUUCUUUUGUAGGGUCUUAAUUCUCCCAACUAAGUCUGGUUGUACUCUGAAAUUUGCUACAAGUGCUCCUAAGCCCAUAACUCGAAAGUGGACUUGUAAACUCCUCAACUCUUCAAGUAACUGCCUUUGACAACCUCUAAUAGCUGCUAGAGAACCAACUGACUUCCUACUCAAGGCAUCAGCUACAACAUUCGCCUUCCCAGGAUGAUACUGAAUAAUACAAUCAUAGUCCUUAAGUAGUUCUAUCCAUCUUCUCUGUCUUAUGUUCAACUCCUUUUGGGAAAAUAGAUACUUCAAACUCUUAUGAUCUGUGAAUAUCUCACAAGUUUCACCAAAAAGAAAAUGUCUCCAAAUCUUAAGUGCAAAAACCACAGCAGCUAACUCCAAAUCAUGAGUAGGGUAAUUCCUUUCAUAAGGCUUCAACUGUCUAGAAGCAUAAGCUACAACUCUCCCAUGUUGCAUAAGAACACAACCUAAACCCUGAUGAGAAGCAUUACUAUACACCACAAAUCCUCCUGAACCUGAAGGGAUAGUCAAAAUAGGAGCUGACACUAAUCUAUUCUUCAACUCUUGGAAGCUACAUUCACAAUCAUCAGACCACUCAAACUUAACUCCCUUCUGUGUCAACUUAGUUAAAGGUAGGGCAAUCUUAGAGAACCCUUCUAUAAACCGCCUAUAGUAACCAGCAAGUCCCAAGAAACUUCGAAUCUCAGUCACAGUACUAGGUCUUCUCCAAUUAGCUACAGCAUCUACCUUGCCAGGGUCAACUGAGAUGCCAUCAUUGCUUACCACAUGCCCAAGGAAAGAAAUUCAGUCUAACCAAAACUCACACUUCUUCAGUUUAGCAUACAACUGCUUAUCUCUGAGGAUAUGUAAUACAAUACUCAAAUGGCCCUCAUGCUCCUCUCUACUUCUUGAGUAUACCAAGAUGUCAUCUAUAAAAACCACCACAAAUUGAUCUAAAUAGGGUUUGAAUACCCUAUUCAUCAAGUCCAUAAAAGCAGCAGGUGCAUUAGUCAAACCAAAAGGCAUAACAAGAAACUCAUAGUGCCCAUACCUAGUUCGAAAAGCAGUCUUGGGUACAUCUUCCCCUCUAACCCUCAACUGGUGAUAACCCGAUCAAAGAUCUAUCUUAGAGAACACACAAGCACCUUGUAACUGAUCAAACAAAUCAUCAAUCCGAGGAAGGGGAUACUUGUUCCUCACUAUCACCUUAUUCAACUCCCUAUAGUCAAUGCAAAGUCUCAUUGAGCCAUCCUUCUUUUUCACAAAUAGAACAGGAGCUCCCCAAGGUGAAACACUAGGCCUGAUAAAACCCUUGUCUAAUAACUCUUGAAGCUGAACUUUCAACUCCUUAAGCUCCACAGGUGCCAUCCUGUAUGGGGCCUUAGACAUAGGACCUAUUCCUAGUACUAGAUCAAUGGUGAACUCCACCUCUCUCUCUGGUGGCAAGCCAGACAAAUCCUCUGGAAAGACAUCAGGAUACUCUCUUACUAUAGGUAUGUCUUCCAACUUCAAAUCACUUUCAUUACUCACCAUACUAGCCAAAAAUCCUUGGCAACCCUUCUUAAGCAAGCUACUAGCACGCAAGGCUGAGAUCAUACGCAGUGGUCUGUCCACAUGCUUCCCUUCAAAGCUAAACUUAGGCUGACCAGGAAUACUAAAUGUCACUCUUUUCUCAAAACAGUCAACAGAGGCAUGGUAGGAAGCUAACCAAUCCAUACCCAAAAUCACAUCAAAAUCCUGAAGGUCAAGGAGUACUAAAUCAACUGGCAUUUCCCUAUAACCAAUCAUCACAAUACAAUUUCUAAGCAUUCUACUGGCCACAACAGAAUCUCCCACAGGAGUAGCAACAAUCAAAUCAAAGUCCAUGCUAACAACAGGCAAACCCAACAAACCAGCAAAAGAUACUGAAACAAAAGAGUGUGUUGAUCCAGGAUCAAUCAGACUCUAGCAAAUAAGGUGUGGAUUCGGAGAGUACCUGUCACCACAUCAGAAGUGGCCUGAGCAUCUCGAUGAGUCAUAGCAAACACCCGUCCUUGGGCUUUGGGUUUCUGUUUUAUCUCCUUAUUUUCCUCUUUAAGCUUCCCAGUGAUGAACUUACCUAUUCCUCUGAUCAAAUGUCCUUGCNNNNNNNNNNNNNNNNNNNNNNNNNNNNNNNNNNNNNNNNNNNNNNNNNNNNNNNNNNNNNNNNNNNNNNNNNNNNNNNNNNNNNNNNNNNNNNNNNNNNGUGAUAACCCGAUCGAAGAUCUAUCUUAGAGAACACACAAGCACCUUGUAGCUAAUCAAACAAAUCAUCAAUCCGAGGAAGGGGAUACUUAUUCCUCACUGUCACCUUAUUCAACUCCCUAUAGUCAAUGCAAAGUCUCAUUGAGCCAUCCUUCUUUUUUACAAAUAGAACAGGAGCUCCCCAAGGUGAAACACUAGGCCUGAUAAAACCCUUGUCUAAUAACUCCUGAAGCUGAACUUUUAACUCCUUAAGCUCCAUAGGUGCCAUCCUGUAUGGGGCCUUAGACAUAGGACCUGUUCCUGGUACCAGAUCAAUGGUGAACUCCACCUCUCUCUCUGGUGGCAAGCCAGGCAAAUCCUCUGGAAAGACAUCAGGAUACUCCCUUACUAUGGGUAUGUCUUCCAACUUCAAAUCACUUCCAUUACUCACCACACUAGCCAAAAAUCCUUGGCAACCCUUCUUAAGCAAGCUACUAGCUCGCAAGGCUGAGAUCAUACGCAGUGGUCUGUCCACAUGCUUCCCUUCAAAGCUAUACUUAGGCUGACCAGGAAUACUAAACGUCACCCUUUUCUCAAAACAGUCAACAGAGGCAUGGUAGGAAGCUAACCAAUCCAUCCCCAAAAUCACAUCAAAAUCCUGAAGGUCAAGGAGUACUAAAUCAACUGGCAUUUCCCUAUAACCAAUCAUCACAAUACAAUUUCUAAGCAUUCUACUGGCCACAACAGAAUCUCCCACAGGAGUAGCAACAAUCAAAUCAAAGUCCAUGCUAACAACAGGCAAACCCAACAAACCAGCAAAAGAUACUGAAACAAAAGAGUGUGUUGAUCCAGGAUCAAUCAAGACUCUAGCAAAUAAGGUGUGGAUUCGGAGAGUACCUGUCACCACAUCAGAAGUGGCCUGAGCAUCUCGAUGAGUCAUAGCAAACACCCGUCCUUGGGCUUUGGGUUUCUGUUUAUCCUCCUUAUUUUCCUCUUUAAGCUUCCCAGUGAUGAACUUCCUAUUCUCUGAUCAAAUGUCCUUGCUUCCCACAACCAAAGCAAGCUCCAGUCUCUCUAUAGCAUGGCCUACCCCCAUGCUUCUUACCACAAGUAGGACAAGCCCCAUCUAAAUUCUGCGCUGCCUUCCCUUUAUUCUGAUUUCUUCCUGAUGUAGACCUUCGCUGUGCUUGAUUACCAUGAGCACCAUCACUCCUAUUUCGCUUCCUUUGCUGUUCCCUAUACUGAUGAAGCUCUUCAUUAUCUUUCUCUGUUAUAAGGGCUCUGUCAACAACCUCUGAAUAGACACCAAGCUUCAGAAUAGAUAUCUUGUUCUUCAAAUAAGGCUUCAAUCCAUCCUGAAACUUUAAUGCCUUUUCCUCCUCUAUAGCAAUCAACUGUGGGGAAAAACGUGAUAACUUUGUAAAUUUGGCCUCAUACUGAGCCACAGUCAUAUCCCUCUGUUCCAAACGAAUAAACUCUCCCACCUUCUGCCACCUAACACUGUCAGGGAAAUACUUCUUGUAGAAAGCCUCCCUAAAUUGUCUCCAUGUUAUGGGUCCCUGAUCCUCCAAAAGUCUCUUAGUCAUACGCCACCAAUGAUCUGUCUCUUUAUCUAACAUAAAAGCUGCAUAAGAGGCUUUUUGCUCCUCAGAGCAAUCUAUGACACCAAAGAAUUUCUCCAUCUUAAGGAUCCAAGCCUCUGCCUCUGUGGGAUCUGUAGCACCAGAAAAGUAAGGAGGACCCAAUUUCUUGAAGUCAUCAAAAGAGCUACCCCUAGAAGAUGAAGACUGUCCCUGAACAUUAGUCCCAACAGCUCGAGCUUGGCGUUCAACUAAACCAACUAGUGUCCCAAGAUACCUAUAGAUCCCUUCUGCACUCACGGGAGGCAAACCCUCAAUUGGAGGUACAUCGUCAUUAGCCUGACUGUUUUGUGAAGAAGUUGUUCUUCUUGGUGGCAUGAUGUCCUAAAAUAAUAAGGCAUAACUAAAUUAGUCACUAAAGAACCAAUUAGAAAAUUUUCCAAUUAAAGAAAGAAUUGGAAUUUAUACUAAAUGAAACUAAAACUUAAACAAAUGCGUUACUCAUCUAUCCCUAAUCUAAACCAAUUCAAAUUCCCAUCAAGAUCAAAACCUAGUGCUCUGAUACCACUCUGUCACGCCCCAAGACCCACUCCAAGGGCGUGACGGUCAUUUCACACCUCAAACCCGAAGGCUUAAAGUAUAAUCUGACCCGAACAAUCAUAUUGUAACUAGAUGUUACCAAUUACCAAAUACCUGUUCAGAGUAGCGGAACAAAAUCUAAAUUCCUCAAAAUUCAAUUUCCAAAUAACUUCCAAAUAUCAAAGAUCCAAAUGAACAUAACUAACAGUUAAACAAAAUCCAACAUAAAAUCCUAAGUCAAAUCCUAAUGAUGACCAUUCUUCAGCCUAGCCAUCACUCCUCACCCGAACUAAGAGUACCUGAAAAUUUUCAACAAUUGGGAAUGAGUUCACAGCCCAAUAAGGAAUAUUAAUGCAAUUCAUGGAUCAAAUAUUUUCAUUUCAAAUAGGAGAUAUCAAUUUUUUUUUUUCUCAUCAAAUAUCAGAGUUCCAAAAAUACCAAUAUAUUCAAAAUUCAACCAACCAAUUUCAUAUCAAAUUCAAACACUUUCACAUAAGAUUCAAUCAAAUUCAUUCAAGUUUCAUUACUCUGGUUAUCAAAUAUCAAAUGCCCAGUUAGGUGAGACUUUUCAAAUGGGUGGCUAGCUUCAAAUUGUUCCUGGUGGACGAAACCAAACACUACUAGUACUAGUAACCUCUAACCAAACCCCUAGAGGCUGGGGUCCAAAUCAAUUACAUUCCCACCAUGAAAUGUAAAGGUCAACUAUUAUAUCUCGUUGACAGGGCCGAAUAGUCAACUAUUAUAUCCCGUUGACAAGGGUCAAAUAAACCAGAGUGAUGUUUUUGUUCAAGUAUUCAAAUGUACACAACAUAAUAUCUCCAUAUUUUGUGUCAUAAAUAAAACAAAAUAUUCCAACAUAACAUUUAGUGCAAAACAAUUUGAUCCAUGCAUGGUAACAAAAUAUCAUUUUCUUUUCCACAAUUCAAAAUAACAUAUAAGAUAAUUUAAUUUUAUAAAUAUUACAUUAACUUCCCUUACCUCAAAAGAAGUCCUUGAAAGCUUGGGAGAAGAAUAAUUCUGAAAAAAAAAUAUAAUCUACUCUUCACCUAAUAUAACAUAAAAGAAACAAUUAUUACUAUUUAUUUAUAAUUUAACUAAUCUAUUCCUUAUUUAAAAAAAAACUAAUAAAUUCCCAAUUUGUUUCUAAUAACACAUUACUAAUUUAAUUAAAUUAUAACUUUAUUUCGCUAUAAAAUUAUAUAUAUAUAUAUAUAUAUAUAUUGCUAAAUCUCUUAUUCUAUUUAUUACAAAAAUACCAUUAUUACUAUUAUCUUAUUUAUAAAUCUAAAACUAAUUAUUAUUAUUUAAUUAACCAAUUCCAAACCACUCAACCUCGGGUACACCAAACCAAAAAGCAAGUUUUUAUUUUUAUUUUUUAUUUUUUUUCAUUGCCAAUCAUGAUCCAUUAAUAUAUAUAUAUAUAUAUAAAAGGGGCUUCCUGGUACACGCACCUUUUUUUUUUAAUAAAAUUAACCCUAACCUAAAAUCAAAACCUUCCAAGAAAUUUUUUUUUUUUUCUAAUAAAACUUAAGAUCUCCCAAAUUCCAAUACUAAAAUCAAAAUAUUAAAUUUUCACUAUUUGAUAUUAAAACGAAUUAAAAAAAUAAUCUAACCCUAAUCUAGAUUUUGGGUUUUCCAAAAAAAUAUAUCUAAUGUGUUUGAAAUUAAUCAAUGAAUCUAAAAUAUUAAACUAGGGGUUAGAAUUUUACCUAUAGAGAUCUGUUCUUCAACCCUGAAAUCUGACUCCAAUCUUACGUUCUCUGGAAUUCUACGAACAAGAACUAUAUUCAGAAAAGAAGGGAAAAAAAUAAAAUUUCUAAUUUAUACCUAGGGUAUUUAUUCGUAAAAUUACACUUUUACCCUUCUUCCACUUUAUUAAAUUAAUUAAUUAAUUAAUUUAAUUAUUAAUAACAAUUUCCUAAAUUACCCUUAAAAGAAAAUGCUUGGGCGUUACAGAAACGGUGUUGAUCAUCCAAACCAUGAUUUUACCAGCAUCAGUUAAGAUGAGAUUGCCAUUCCUCAACAAAGAAAGCUUGGAGCCUCUACCGUUGACCGGUUGGUCAUGGUUCGCCAUCCAAACUGUGGUUGCACCCCAUGAUUUUGUGAACCAUAUGGCGAAGCAGAAAGUGUUGUUGCCGACCUGAUAAAACCCAGCAGAGAAUAUACCAUUUGCUGAAAUGAGAACAUCAUUUGAUUUCUCCACGGAAAGAGACGAGCCUUCGCUCAGAGUAUCAUACGUUUCAGAUGAAGAUGGAUAGCAAGUUAACAGCAAAACCAAAACAAAGAAACCAACUGUCCUAUCCAUGAGUUUUGGGAUAUGGUUCAUGUGCUCUGUUUCCUGAUCAGAUAUUUGCAAUGGAGAAUGCAAGUGUAUGGUGCUACCAGAGUUUAGAAAAUCAAUUGACUCCUUGACUGGGGUGAAGGGGGAAAAUUCACAUUGCCCCUCGGGCCAAGUUUUGCUUGUGCCAUCGUGUUGGGUUUCUAAAAGCAUUUCAUGUCAACGUCAAAAUAUGGGAUGAAGACCCGCUAUUUUUAAUGGGAUCUAUUUUGAUUGGAUGACUUGGGCCAUUCAAAUUUUGUAGUUUCCACUUGGAACAACAAAAUUAUUAUGAGAUACGUCAUUUUGAAGAAAGAUUCUAGAAAUAAGAUGUUAAAUUGAUCUCUUUUCCAUGUAGCUGAACUCGUCAACUGUGAGUCUGAGCCAUAUGAUUUCUGUGCCAUACAGAAGCUUAUUGUUCCAAGUUGCCUGCUCAAAGGUUAACCUGUGAACAGUUUGGAUCUAAAUACAAUGAAUGUGAUGAAAUUUACUGAAACCGGGACUCUCUGACUGGCCUGUGGCCUUUAUGAGUUUUAUUUUAGAGGUGACGUCUGAUGUUGAUUGGCCCAAGCAGGGAAAGAUCAAAUGGGAAACGACGGUCACAACUUGUGGGGUGACUUUCCACUCACCAGGGAACACUUCAAAGAAAUUAUCCCUAAUUUUUAAACGCUUAAUUAUUGCGAUUCGAGGGGUAAAACAUUUUCUUUUAUUGAAUCAAGAUUGAAUUUAAAAUAAUAGUGUUGGUAUUACUCCCUCUCUUUUAUCCUUUUCUUAUUCUAUCUAAUAGUGGUUUUCUCGCCGCCUUUGUGGGCCAAGAUGAACUAAUGCUAAGAAUUUUAUUCAUCUGCUUUCUUUCAAGACUCACUUAUUGAAUAUAAUAUCUCAAUAAAUAUAGAACCAUAUUUUGAUUAUAUUGGUACAAUUAUUGAUACAACUGUUGGCUCCGCUCAAGUCAUUUUGGCGUGGACUUUUAGGGUAUGGUAGAGUGGAGCUUGUAUCACUACUAAUUAUUAAAAUGGUUAAAGGAUGUCUUUGUCAUUUUAGUGCACAUAUAAUUAUUAUUACAAUUGAGGGUCCUCCAAUAUCCCAUUUUUCCAAUUUUGACUUUUGAUCGGAAAAAAUUUAGUAUACAAGGAUAGGAAAAUAUGCUAAAUAAAAUAAUUUUCUCAUAUUUAGGUUUAUUAAAAAUUAUAAAAAAUAAUAUAAUAUAAUAUAAUUAAAAAGUUAUGUAUUUUUAAAUUAGAUAAUUUUUUUAUAAAACAAUUAAAAUAAGUUAAAUGAGUUUGAAAUUCCAUAUAAAAAUAAUUUAUUGAUUUAAAAUCUAUUUUUAUUUCCUUUAACUUUUUUUCAUAUAUUUUUUUUUUGAAUUUUUCAAAUACUUCAAACAGCUAUUUUUAAGUUUGUAUCUUUGUGAAACUCGUGUAAUCGUGACCCAUGAGAACCUUCAAGUCAUUUUGAUUAUAUUGGUACAAUUAUUGGUACAACUGUUGGCUCCGCUCAAGUCAUUUUGGCGUGGACUUUUAGGUUAUGGUUGAGUGGAGCUUGUAUCACUACUAAUUAUUAAUAUGGUUAAAGGAUGUCUUUGUCAUUUUAGUGCACAUAUAAUUAUUAUUACAAUUGAGGGUCCUCCAAUAUCCCAUAUUUCCAAUUUUGAUUUUUCAAGGUAUGAUCGGAAAAAAUUUAGUAUACAAGGAUAGGAAAAUAUGUUAAAUAAAAUAAUUUUCUUAUAUUUAGUUUUAUUAAAAAUUGUAAAAAAUAAUAUAAUAUAAUAUAAUUAAAAAGUUAUGUAUUUUUAAAUUAGGUAAUUUUUUUAUAAAACAAUUAAAAUAAGUUAAAUGAGUUUGAAAUUUUAUAGAAAAUUAAUUUAUUGAUUUAAAAUCUAUUUUUAUUUUCUUUAACUUUUUUUCAUAUAUAUUUUUUUUUUUGUAUUUUUCAAAUACUUCAAGUAGCACCCCAUUUCCUAUUUUCAAGUUUGUAUCUUCGUGAAACUCAUGUAAUCGUGACCCAUGAGAACCUUCAAGUCAUUUUGAUUAUAUUGGUACAAUUAUUGGUACAACUGUUGGCCCCGCUCAAGUCAUUUUGGCGCGGACUUUUAGGGUAUGGUUGAGUGGAGCUUGUAUAACUACUAAUUAUUAAUAUGGUUAAAGGGUGUCUUUGUCAUUUUAGUGCACAUAUAAUUAUUAUUACAAUUGAGGGUCCUCCAAUAUCCCAUUUUUCCAAUUUUGACUUUUCAAGGUCUGAUCGGAAAAAAUUUAGUAUACAGAGAAAAUAUGAUAAAUAAAAUAAUUUUUUCAUAUUUAGUUUUAUUAAAAAUUGUAAAAAAAUAUAUAUAUAAUUAAAAAGUUAUGUAUUUUUAAAUUAGGUAAUUUUUUUUUAUAAAACAAUUAAAAUAAGUUAUAUGAGUUUGAAACUCCAUAUAAAAAUAAUUUAUUAAUUUAAAAUUUAUUUUUAUUUCCUUUAACUUUUUUUCUUAUAUUUUCUUUCGUAUUUUCCAAAUAUUUCAAAUAGCACUCUAUUCCCAUUUUCAAGUUUGUAUCUUUGUGAAACUCAUUUAAUCGUGACCCAUGAGAACCUUCCCAUAACUACAAAGGAAGGUGGCAACAUAUCAUUGGGAGAGUGUCUUAAGAGCCAAAAUUUGACUAGCGGUUGAAAGGAAAAUGCACAAUUAUUGUAGUGGACAAAUACUUUUAACCUCAUUUGUGGAAGCUAGGUUGUUUUUACAAGGGAAACUUGUGUUCCAAGUUAGAUAUUUGAAAGUAAUAUUAUAUUCAAACCCCAAUUAGCUGGAAUAUGAGAUUUGACUAUUAAAAGAGAAAAUAUUAUUGUGUUUGUGCAUUCUAAGUUGGCUCUAUCUUCUAUGCCCAAAUUGCCCUUUUGUUUCUCUAGCUCAACAUCAUCCUAACCUCUUUGUCAACAGGACCACUAAAAUUAAGAAAAAACACUAAAUUUUGAAUUUUUAACUUCUAAAAAAAAAAACACCCGACCCGACCACUUAAUUUGAAUGUUUUCCUUUCUCAUUUGGAAGCUUUCUCUCAUCUUUCUUCAUUCAUGACAACCCAAAAUUUCUCCUAUUUCAAUUUAGAAACCCAAAUCUGAAACUCUAAAACGGUGUCAAAAUGCGUCUUUUGACGUGCCUCUGGCUCAGAUGCCUCAGCUAGGCGUUUGCCUUGAGCCCUAACCGUAGUUAACUCUCGUCUAGGAGCCACGAGAGUGCAAGAGAAUCCAAUAAAAAUGAAAUGGAGCUCGGGUGGAGAGUAGAUGCCCAAAAACUGAAACCUUAACCUCCAAAUGCGUCUUAGACUCGCAAAUUCAUAUCCAAGAUAGUUCUAUAAGACAGAAAUAGCACCAAACAUCUCUUUUAGACCACCGAAUCGACGAAGCCCUUGAAGAACCAAAGGAAACGGUGCAAAAAAUGAAGCGCGGGAAACUCUUAAAGUAUUGGGUCUUGACAAAAAGAAUAUUAAGAAAAAUAGGUUUUUAAUAUCUUAUUUUAGUAUAAAAAUAAAAAAAUAAGAUAUAAUUAAAAACUUGUAUAUUUUUAAAUUAUUUGAUAUUUAUAUAAAAAAUAAUAUAUUAACUUAAAUAAGUUUAAGAUAGCAUAUAAAAUAAUUUAUCAGCUUUAAAUUUUUUUUUUACUUUUACAUGAUACUUAAAAAGGAAUAUAAAUAGAGAAACAAUAUACUAAAUAAAAUAAUUUUAUCUAUAUAUAAAAAUAAUUUAUUAAUUUAAAAUCUAUUUUUAUUUCCUUUUAACCUUUCUUUCCUUUUUUUUUUUUUUUUUCCAUAUUUUCCAAAUACUUCACAUAGCACUCCACUCCCUAUUUUUUUUUUCUCUCUAAAUUUCAGAAACCAAACAUAAAAUACAAACACUGGUGUAAAGUUUGUAUCUUUGUGAAACUCAUGUAAUCUUGACCCAUAGGAACCUUCCCAUAUAAUUAAAGGAGAAUUACCCAAUAGGGUGGGCUUGGUAAAACAAUUACUAGAAAUGGUAGUCUCUUCUAAUAAUUCUUGGGGAGGAUUUUAAUAGGUUUAAUAUACCAAAACUGUCAUUUAACUAAAAUUUUUAAAAUUCAAAGUAUUUAAAGCACUUCACUUGAUUUGUCGAUACAAUUAUAGUACAUGAGUCUCAUAUUUAUUGUAAUUAUUAAUAUUCAAAUUUUAAAUCAAAAUUUUGGGUUUAACCUUUACAAUUAUAUAUAAUUUGUUAUUUAAAUUUACUAUUUAAAACAAAAAUACUUUUAAAAAGUAUUUUCAAAAUAUCAUUUAUUGUUUUUUUUACAUUUUUUAUUUUUAUUCUAAUUUUUAAUUUUAUUAAGAAAAAAAUAAGUUUUAUAAUUAUAUAAUAAAAAUGAUGAUUUUUUCAUAUAUAUAUAUGUAUAUAUUAUAAUUUUAAAUUGAUAAAUUAUGUUUUUGUUUUAAAUUCAAGGAAGAUAAAAUGUUUAAUUUUUCAUUCAGAUUCUUUAAAAAGAAUAAGAAAAUGAUAGAGAAUGUUUAAUAAUUUUUUAUUUUUAUAAUAAAAUAAUUUUAAAAAAUUUAUAUGAUUUUUUUUCCUUUGCAUAGUGUUUUUUUUUUUUUCAUAUAAAAUUUUUUUUCUCAGUACAUCGACUGGAUGAUGUUAAUAUAUUUGAUAUGUUGAAUAUUAAUAAGGUAUAAAAGGUGAUCAUCGAGAUUAUUACUUUUAUUAUAAAAUAUAGGUACAACAAAAAUAUGUUAUAAUUACCAUAUAAAUACACUUACAUUACAAUAAAACCUAAUUAGGAAAUUUUUGAAUUUUUUUAUAAAAAUGAUAAUUUGGUAAGAUCAUACCAUAUUUUAUAACAUACCUAUAUCAUAAAUAAUUUCUGAAACCAAAUGAAAUACUAAUUUGAAUUCACGAGACUUGUAGUUUAUAUAUAUAAAUGAUUAAAUAAUUUCAAAACACUAAAUAAAUGUUGUUAAUAUAUUGAUACGAUGCGUUAAUACCAACGGGGUAUGAAUAAACAUUUUUAAAAUUAUUCCUUUUGUAAUUAAAUAUAGAUAUGACAUAAAUACAUUAUACUUACAAUAUAAAUACGUGUUAUCAUUACAAUAUAUUACAAUAUAAUUUAAUUUAUUUUUAUUUAAUUUUUUCAAGUGUUAUAUUAUCCAAUGAAUAAUUGUGAGUUAUUCUAUUUAAUAGGUGUGUGUUAAUCAAUUGAAUAUUUACAUAUUAUUCAAUUGAUGAGUGCUCGUAAAAAAUAAUUAUUCAUUAUAUUAUGAUAACAAAGUUUUUAAUUAUAUGUUUUAUAUAUAAAACAAUAUAAUAAUUUUAGGAUAUGGUUUUUAUUUAUGAGAUAAUGAAAAUUAUAUUUUUUUAUAAGGUUCUUUAUAAAAUAUAGCAAAUUUUUAAAUAAUCAUUUGAUUGUUCAAAAGUUAAUAAUAAUUUUUUUAAGCUGAGAAAUAUAUUAUUGAUUACUUAUCAUCAUGCAUGAAUUCCACAACAAUCUCAAUUUAUUUAUAAAUAAUAUAAAAACAUAUUAUAGGUAAAAUUAUCUAUAACCGAGAGAGCCUUCAUAAUAAUUAGUUUUUUGGGCUACCCUGUUCGGUAAUUCUCCGUACAAUUAAUUUCCAGCAAAGGCAGGUGAGUGUUGAGGAGACAAAAUCUGACCCGCUGUUGAAGGGAAAAUGCACAAUUAUUGAAGUGGACGGAAACUUUUAACCUUAUCUGUGGAAGCUGGGUCGUUUUUCAAAACACGAGGCUGCAGCUUGGAACCUGGGGCAUUCUAGCUUUCAUCUUCCCAUGGGAAUUUCUACCCUCCGCACAAGUCAAGAGCAACUUUGUCUUUUCCAUAAAUAUUAGUAUUAUUUGUGUGUUCCUUACCUGAAUUUGAUUCAAGCUUAGCCCUACGGCCUUUUCAACUGAUCCAAUUUCAUAGAUCACAUGGAUGCGCCAGUUCUUUUGCUUCUUCUCACUCUGCUUCUAUCUUCUCCACUUCCAUCGUCCACCCUCGACAGUUUGAGUCAAGGCUCAUCCCUCUCAGUUGGGAAGCCUGAACAAGUUUUGAUUUCACAAAGUGGAAUCUUCUCAGCUGGCUUCUACCCCGUCGGUGAUAAUGCUUGUUGUCUUGCCAUAUGGUUCACCAAACCAUCCUACGACGGCAAACAUACCGCUGUUUGGAUGGCAAACCGAAACCAACCAGUUAAUGGGAAUUUCUCAAAGCUUUCCCUUCUAGAAAGUGGUGAUCUUAUCUUAACAGAUGCUGGGCGGUUCAUAGUUUGGACCAUAAAGAGGGUUGGGAUUUCUCCGGUGCAAUUACACCUCUUCAACACUGGUAACCUUGUGCUGCGUACCUCGGAUGGUGUUAUUCAAUGGCAAAGUUUCGAUUCACCAACAGAUACCCUUCUCCCUCACCAACCACUCACCAGAAAUACGAGACUCGUCUCUUCAAGAACCAAAACCAACUUUUUCUCAGGGUUUUAUAAGCUCUAUUUUGACAACAAUAACGUCCUCAGUCUUGUCUUCGAUGGGCGGGAUGCUUCAAGCAUUUACUGGCCCCCAUCGUGGCUUGUAAGCUGGCAGGCGGGAAGAUCGGCAUACAACAGCAGCAGAACUGCAUUACUAGAUUACUUUGGCUAUUUUUCUUCAACCGACGAUUUUAAGUUUCAGUCCUCGGAUUUUGGUGAGAGAGUCCAAAGAAGAUUGACCCUGGAUAUUGAUGGCAACUUACGAUUAUACAGUUUUGAGGAAGGGAGAAAUAAGUGGGUUGUUACUUGGCAAGCCAUCACGCUACAAUGCAACAUUCAUGGAAUAUGCGGACCCAACAGUAUUUGUACCUAUGUGCCUGGUUCUGGGAGUGGAAGGAGAUGCUCUUGCGUACCUGGAUAUGAGAUGAAAAAUCGCACUGACCGAACUUAUGGAUGCAUACCAAAAUUCAAUCUUUCUUGCGACUCACAGAAGGUUGGUUUCCUCCCACUCCCACACGUUGAGUUCUACGGCUAUGAUUAUGGCUAUUACCUCAAUUACACCUUACAGAUGUGUGAAAAACUGUGCUUGAAAAUAUGUGGCUGCAUAGGAUAUCAAUACAGCUAUAAUUCGGAUGUUUAUAAAUGUUGUCCUAAGCGGCUGUUUCUCAACGGAUGCCGCUCGCCUAGUUUUGGAGGACAUACAUAUCUAAAAUUGCCUAAAGCUAGUCUUCUUUCCUAUGAAAAACCAGUUGAGGAAUUCAUGUUAGAUUGCUCAGGCAACCGCUCAGAGCAGCUAGUAAGAUCUUAUGCAAAAGCCCGCGAAAAUGAAGUGUUAAAGUUCAUCCUCUGGUUUACGUGCGCAAUUGGAGCAGUUGAGAUGAUUUGCAUCAGUAUGGUGUGGUGUUUCUUGAUGAAGGCCCAGCAAAACACCAGUACAGAUCCGCCAGGCUACAUUUUAGCUGCCACGGGAUUCAGAAAAUUCACCUAUAUUGAGCUGAAGAAAGCAACACGGGGUUUCAGUGAGGAGAUUGGCAGAGGAGGGGGUGGGGUUGUAUAUAAAGGUGUCUUAUCAGACCACCGAGUGGCAGCCAUCAAGCAGCUCAGUGGAGCUAACCAAGGAGAAUCUGAAUUCUUGGCAGAAGUAAGUACCAUUGGGAGGCUUAACCACAUGAACUUGAUAGAGAUGUGGGGUUAUUGCUUUGAGGGGAAGCACAGGCUCUUGGUUUAUGAAUACAUGGAGCAUGGAUCACUAGCACAAAACCUCACUUCCAAUACACUUGAUUGGCAGAAGAGGUUCGAUAUUGCGGUGGGCACAGCAAAAGGUCUGGCUUAUUUACACGAAGAGUGCUUGGAGUGGGUUAUACACUGCGAUGUGAAGCCUCAAAACAUACUCCUAGACUCUAAUUAUCAGCCAAAGGUGGCAGACUUCGGCCUGUCAAAGUUACAGAACAGAGGAGGAAUCAACAAUUCGAGAUUGUCGAGGAUCAGAGGAACGAGAGGUUACAUGGCUCCAGAAUGGGUUUUGAACCUCCCCAUCACCUCCAAAGUAGACGUUUAUAGCUAUGGUAUUGUGGUUCUGGAGAUGAUUACCGGCCUAAGAAGUGUUGCAAAUGCCAUCCACGGUACAGAUGGCAUAGGGGAACGUCAGAGUUUGGUGGCAUGGGUGAAAGGGAAGAUGAAUAGUGCAAC
rnacentral:lncRNA from 1 species